UAUCAUAACCACAAUUAAAAUGUGAAACUUAUUUUCUCGAAAUUAUAUUUUCGCUGCCGAAGUACGCCAGUGUAUUGACAAUCAUUCACAAACAAAUCUAGCACGAGAGCUCGAUGGAUAAUUUGAAGACUUGCAGGAGAAAGCGAGACCUUGAAAGAACAUGAAGAUGAACUUGACUCUGAAUCGAAGAAGACUACAUUCCUCAACAGAUAUUUGUUGCAAUACUUCUGGUAACCUGGGAAUGGCAACAAGUUGCUGCUGUUGUUAAUAAUGGUCAACCGUCU
rnacentral:misc_RNA from 1 species